rnacentral:rRNA from 1 species
CCUUAACCUGCUAACUAGUUACGCGAACCUUGGUUCGUGGCCAACUUCUUAGAGGGACUUUCGGUGCUUAACCGAAGGAAGUUUGAGGCAAUAACAGGUCUGUGAUGCCCUUCGAUGUUCUGGGCUGCACGCGCGCUACACUGAUGAAGUCAGCGAGUUUUUUUUCCUUGGCCGGAAGGCCUGGGUAAUCUUGCCAAACUUCAUCGUGCUGGGGAUAGAUCCUUGCAAUUAUUGAUCUUCAACGAGGAAUUCCUAGUAAGCGCGAGUCAUCAGCUCGCGUUGAUUACGUCCCUGCCCUUUGUACACACCGCCCGUCGCUACUACCGAUUGAAUGGUUUAGUGGGAUCUCCGGACUGCCGUCUGGCUGCUGGCGACAGCGGCUUGGCAGCGGGAAGCUGCUCAAACUUGAUCAUUUAGAGGAAGUAAAAGUCG